GCAUAUCAAUAAGCGGAGGAAAAGAAACUAACAAGGAUUCCCCUAGUAACUGCGAGUGAAGAGGGAAAAGCUCAAAUUUAAAAUCUGGCAGCUUCGCUGUCCGAGUUGUAAUUUAGAGAAGUGUUUACCCGCGUUGGACCGUGUACAAGUCUCCUGGAACGGAGCGUCAUAGAGGGUGAGAAUCCCGUCUUUGACACGGACUACCAAGGCUUUGUGGUACGCUCUCAAAGAGUCGUGUUGUUUGGGAAUGCAGCACUAAAUGGGUGGUAAAUUCCAUCUAAAGCUAAAUAUUGGCGAGAGACCGAUAGCAAACAAGUACCGUGAGGGAAAGAUGAAAAGAACUUUGGAAAGAGAGUUAAACAGUACGUGAAAUUGUUAAAAGGGAAACGCUUAAAGUCCAGUCGCGUCGGUUGGAAAUCAGUCUUGCUUUUUUGCUUGAUGUACUUUCUAACUGACGGGUCAGCAUCAGUUUUGACUGUUGGAUAAAGGUUGAAGGAAUGUGGCAUCCUCGGAUGUGUUAUAGCCUUUGAUUGUAUACAACAGUUGGGACUGAGGAACUCAGCACGCCGAAAGGCCGGGUCUUUGUACCACGUUCGUGCUUAGGAUGCUGGCAUAAUGGCUUUAAUCGACCCGUCUUGAAACACGGACCAAGGAGUCUAACAUGCCUGCGAGUAUUUGGGUGGAAAACCCGAGUGCGCAAUGAAAGUGAAAGUUGAGAACUCUUUAGAGUGCAUCGACGCCCGGACCAGACGUUUUCUGACGGAUCCGCGGUAGAGCAUGUAUGUUGGGACCCGAAAGAUGGUGAACUAUGCCUGAAUAGGGUGAAAGCCAGAGGAAACUCUGGUGGAGGCUCGUAGCGAUUCUGACGUGCAAAUCGAUCGUCGAAUUUGGGUAUAGGGGGCGAAAGACUAAUCGAACCAUCUAGUAGCUGGGUUCCUGCUCGAA
rnacentral:rRNA from 1 species